rnacentral:rRNA from 1 species
CUUCCGUAGGUGAACCUGCGGAAGGAUCAUUAAUAAAUGUUACCUCUGGUAACUUUAUAAUCCUUAACACCUGUGCAUCUUGUCGCUCCGGCGAUAUUAUACAAACAUCAGUGUAAAGAAUGUAAAUUAUUAUAACAAAUACAACUUUCAACAACGGAUCUCUUGGCUCUCGCAUCGAUGAAGAACGCAGCGAAAUGCGAUAAGUAAUGUGAAUUGCAGAAUUCAGUGAAUCAUCGAAUCUUUGAACGCACAUUGCGCCUUUUGGUAUUCCGAAAGGCAUGCCUGUUUGAGUGUCAUAUGACUUCUCAUACCUAGUUUUCUAUGUAUGAGCUUUGGACGCUGCCAUCUGUGGCUCGUCUUAAAUGUCUAAGUGGAAUGCGUAAUAAGUUUUCGCUCCCUCCACUCUAAUAACUCUUAUGUUAGACCUCAAAUCAGGUAGGACUACCCGCUGAACUUAAGCAUAUCAAUAGCGGAGGA